UAGGGAAUCUUCCGCAAUGGGCGAAAGCUUGACGGAGCAACGCCGCGUGAGUGAUGAAGGUCUUCGGAUCGUAAAACUCUGUUAUUAGGGAAGAACAAAUGUGUAAGUAACUAUGCACGUCUUGACGGUACCUAAUCAGAAAGCCACGGCUAACUACGUGCCAGCAGCCGCGGUAAUACGUAGGUGGCAAGCGUUAUCCGGAAUUAUUGGGCGUAAAGCGCGCGUAGGCGGUUUUUUAAGUCUGAUGUGAAAGCCCACGGCUCAACCGUGGAGGGUCAUUGAAAACGGGAAAACUUGAGUGCAGAAGAGGAAAGUGGAAUUCCAUGUGUAGCGGUGAAAUGCGCAGAGAUAUGGAGGAACACCAGUGGCGAAGGCGACUUUCUGGUCUGUAACUGACGCUGAUGUGCGAAAGCGUGGGGAUCAAACAGG
rnacentral:rRNA from 1 species